rnacentral:rRNA from 1 species
GAGUAACACGUAUCCAACCUGCCGUCUACUCUUGGACAGCCUUCUGAAAGGAAGAUUAAUACAAGAUGGCAUCAUGAGUCCACAUGUUCACAUGAUUAAAGGUAUUCCGGUAGACGAUGGGGAUGCGUUCCAUUAGAUAGUAGGCGGGGUAACGGCCCACCUAGUCUUCGAUGGAUAGGGGUUCUGAGAGGAAGGUCCCCCACAUUGGAACUGAGACACGGUCCAAACUCCUACGGGAGGCAGCAGUGAGGAAUAUUGGUCAAUGGGCGAGAGCCUGAACCAGCCAAGUAGCGUGAAGGAUGACUGCCCUAUGGGUUGUAAACUUCUUUUAUAAAGGAAUAAAGUCGGGUAUGCAUACCCGUUUGCAUGUACUUUAUGAAUAAGGAUCGGCUAACUCCGUGCCAGCAGCCGCGGUAAUACGGAGGAUCCGAGCGUUAUCCGGAUUUAUUGGGUUUAAAGGGAGCGUAGAUGGAUGUUUAAGUCAGUUGUGAAAGUUUGCGGCUCAACCGUAAAAUUGCAGUUGAUACUGGAUAUCUUGAGUGCAGUUGAGGCAGGCGGAAUUCGUGGUGUAGCGGUGAAAUGCUUAGAUAUCACGAAGAACUCCGAUUGCGAAGGCAGCCUGCUAAGCUGCAACUGACAUUGAGGCUCGAAAGUGUGGGUAUCAAACAGGAUUAGAUACCCUGGUAGUCCACACGGUAAACGAUGAAUACUCGCUGUUUGCGAUAUACUGCAAGCGGCCAAG